rnacentral:rRNA from 1 species
UACGAAGGGGGCUAGCGUUGUUCGGAAUUACUGGGCGUAAAGCGCACGUAGGCGGAUUGUUAAGUCAGAGGUGAAAUCCCGGAGCUCAACUUCGGAACUGCCUUUGAUACUGGCAAUCUAGAGUCCGGAAGAGGUUAGUGGAAUUCCCAGUGUAGAGGUGAAAAUUCGUAGAUAUUCGCAAGAACACCAGUGGCGAAGGCGGCUCACUGGGCCGAUACUGACGCUGAGGAGCGAAAGCGUGGGGAGCGAACAGG